rnacentral:rRNA from 1 species
UGCCAGCCGCCGCGGUAAUCCGAAGGGACCUAGCGUAGUUCGGAAUUACUGGGCUUAAAGAGUUCGUAGGUGGUUAAAAAAGUUGGUGGUGAAAUCCCAGAGCUCAACUCUGGAACUGCCAUCAAAACUUUUUAGCUAGAGUAUGAUAGAGGAAAGCAGAAUUUCUAGUGUAGAGGUGAAAUGCGUAGAUAUUCGGAGGAACACCAAUUGCGAAGGCAGUUCACUGGACCGUGAUCGACGCUGAGGAGCGAAAGCUAGGGGAGCAAACAGGAUUAGAUA